GACGAACGCUGGCGGCGUGCUUAACACAUGCAAGUCGAACGAAGAGCGAUGGAAGCUUGCUUCUAUCAAUCUUAGUGGCGAACGGGUGAGUAACGCGUGAUCAACCUGCCCUUCAGAGGGGGACAACAGUUGGAAACGACUGCUAAUACCGCAUACGAUCUAAUCUCGGCAUCGAGGAUAGAUGAAAGGUGGCCUCUACAUGUAAGCUAUCACUGAAGGAGGGGAUUGCGUCUGAUUAGCUAGUUGGAGGGGUAACGGCCCACCAAGGCGAUGAUCAGUAGCCGGUCUGAGAGGAUGAACGGCCACAUUGGGACUGAGACACGGCCCAGACUCCUACGGGAGGCAGCAGUGGGGAAUCUUCCGCAAUGGACGAAAGUCUGACGGAGCAACGCCGCGUGAGUGAUGACGGCCUUCGGGUUGUAAAGCUCUGUUAAUCGGGACGAAAGGCCUUCUUGCGAACAGUUAGAAGGAUUGACGGUACCGGAAUAGAAAGCCACGGCUAACUACGUG
rnacentral:rRNA from 1 species